rnacentral:rRNA from 1 species
ACAGAGGGUGCAAACGUUGUUCGGAAUUACUGGGCGUAAAGCGCGUGUAGGCGGCAUGGCAAGUCGGGUGUGAAAGCCCUGGGCUCAACCUAGGAAGUGCACUCGAAACUGCCACGCUUGAGUCUUGGAGAGGAAGGCGGAAUUCUCGGUGUAGAGGUGAAAUUCGUAGAUAUCGGGAGGAACACCGGUGGCGAAGGCGGCCUUCUGGACAAUGACUGACGCUGAGACGCGAAAGCGUGGGGAGCAAACAGGA